rnacentral:rRNA from 1 species
GACGAACGCUGGCGGCGUCGCCGUAACACAUGCAAGGUCGAACGGGGUAGAGAGCUUCGGUUCGUUUACUUAGGUGGCGGAACGGGUGAGUAACGCGUGAGAAACCUGCCUUUCAGUGGGGGACAACAGUUGGAAACGACUGCUAAUACCGCAUAAUGUUAUUUGAGGGCAUCCUCGAAUAACCAAAGAUUUAUUGCUGAAAGAUGGUCUCGCGUCUGAUUAGCUAGUCGGUGAGGUAACGGCUCACCAAGGCGACGAUCAGUAGCCGGUCUGAGAGGAUGAACGGCCACAUUGGGACUGAGAUACGGCCCAG